UACGGAGGAUGCAAGCGUUAUCCGGAAUGAUUGGGCGUAAAGCGUCCGCAGGUGGCUGUGUAAGUCUGCUGUCAAAGAGCAAAGCUCAACUUUGCAAAGGCAGUGGAAACUACACGGCUAGAGUGCGUUCGGGGCAGAGGGAAUUCCUGGUGUAGCGGUGAAAUGCGUAGAGAUCAGGAAGAACACCGGUGGCGAAGGCGCUCUGCUAGGCCGCAACUGACACUGAGGGACGAAAGCUAGGGGAGCGAAUGGG
rnacentral:rRNA from 1 species